AGUAAAUACUGGGUACUUACUACCAAUAUAAUCAAUAUUUGUUCCAUAGAUAAUCUAUCAAUCGAAUAAUGUCUCUAAUAUUAAUAGUGACACAAUUUGCCAAGAUAAACAUCAUCUUCGUGAAAGUGUAGCUCAUAUGACGCCCGGCACAGAAUAUAAAGACUUUACAAAUAAAUAUUUGGCUAACCUGAUUCAUCAGAUGAGAUUACAAUUAGAUACAAGUAAAUAUUUACUUCUUGCGUUCUUAUUUGUAAGAUGUCUACGGAAGUGUACAUACUACUUUAUUUAGUUUUUAUUUUAAUUAAUGGCACUACAUUGCAUUUACUUAUGAAGAAUAAACAUGACAUUACUUGAUUGACAUAUAGAAAUUGUUAGGGCAACAAUAUAAAUUUAUACCAGGGUUAUGAGAAAAAUCCCGACUUGUACAUUUAGUUCAGUAAGUUGGUUGGUAGACAAAGAUUUCGGUAAACUGGAAUUUAAAUUAUAUUACAUACUUUAUAGGUAUUGUAAGAUCAAUUACAAAAGUUGUAAGUGUCCUGUGUGACCCUUAUUAACCAACUACUUAAUAUGAAAAGACGGGUUAUCUAAGGUCACAUUAAUGUGUUAAAUGUUUCACCGAACAUCGACUUAAUUUAUUGACCUCUGGCAUACGACCACUUUGGAUGUGGAACUGCAAUCAAACUGAAUUGGUAUCAUUUUAAAAUUAAAAUGGGUAAUAUACAGUCGACAGCAUAUCAACCAAACCAAAACUGAGAAUUCAAUAGAGAUCCAUGAAGGGUAACUAGAUGUGCAGUUAACUGUACAAGACCGGACUAUGAACGAACAUCGAAUUUCCUUAUUAGGAAAUAACUAGAUCGGGAAAAAAACCUUUGUUUGUUUUGUUUACCUUUAGGCACAAAUUUUUAGAGCAGAUUCGGGUGAUGAAAUUAAGUCGGUAUCCAAAGAAAACGAUAUCAAAAAAUGUCGAAAAUUUAUUCGCCUCCCAUACAAUUCGGCUGACCAGAUCAGCUGACCGGACUUAUCCGAAAUUAAAAGUGGCAAGAACUCACCGAUUACUAUGCAACUGGUCAUGGUAUCAUCGCCGUCUUCUCCAGAGUGCAUCUUCAGGUAGGCUAAGAAGACAUAAGCUACGAUGAGGCCUGAACAGUAGGCCAUCAGACACAUGCCGUGAAGGUUCCGCAGCUCAGGGAUGAAGGCGUAUACCAUGAAGGUGGCCAGCAGGAACGGCACGGACAGUAGGAGACCUAUUAAGAAGUGAAGAACUAAAUAAUUAAUUACGUUUUUAGCAUUUCUUUAGAGUUGGUAAGUUUUGAUUUUCUACAAUGUCAAACAUCUACUCACUGCGUUACAAGAAGAUACAGACAAAACAAAUCUCUUUCAUUCUCGAAAAUCAUAGAAAAUGUGAAAAUGUCAGAAAAUCAGGAUCAUGAGAUUCAUUUUCUAAAUAUAUGGACAAUCCUUUUUA